AAUUCCAACACUUUUAAAUAAAAUAAUAAUAACACGGGUUUAAAUCAUCAAAAUUCUCAAAAAAACUGUACAGAAGGUCAAACCCCAAUACGAAAAAUUCCCAACACCUGGGUGAGCCGGGCGUCACUUAGUACAUAAGCGUCUAUAUAAUAUAAGUCUGGAAAUAUUAUCUAUGAAAGACUGAAACUAAAUACAUGAAGCUAAAAGUAAGGGAAGGAAAGACAAGGUCUAUGAACACCGGGCAACUACCUUAGAAUCUCCAUACGAUCAAGCUGCCCAUAGAAUAUACACCCACCAUGUUCGGAAACACCUGGAUCUGCACACGAAGUGCAGGGAGUAGCGUGAUUAGUACAACCAACUCAGUAAGUAACAAGACUAAAUAAUGGACUGAAAGUAGUGACGAGCUUCACGAAUAUAGUUCAGUUACAGAAAUUACAGCAUAGGAAGACAAGCAUGCGUUCAAGUUCGACAAUUAAGGCUAAAACAAUUAAUCAUGUCAAAUUCAAUUGAAACGUGAUAUAAUAUAUGUCAGAAAUUGCAUAACAAUGAUAUAGGCCAAUCGAAGCACAACAGUAAUCAGUUACCUAGUCCUCUUAUUAACUCCAACCUCACAGUCACUCAUUUCCCCCAGUCUUCGUCACUCGCACUCAGCAUCGCACCUAACAUUUGACACUUGGUACUCACACUCAGUAGGUACCUACGCUCACUGGGGGUGUGUACAGACUCCGGGGUGUCUAUUUCAGCCCAAGCGCUAUAACAACCCAAUCGUGACAUAAAUCAAUAAAACAUGUUGCGGUGUGCAGUCCGAUCCCAUAAGUAUCCUCACCAUCAGGCCCUCGGCCUCACUCAGUCAUCAAUCUUUUCAAUCUCUCGGGCUCUUAGUAAUCAUGAUAAUUAGCCCAAAUAAUGAUGGCAUAGUGCAUCAAUAAAGAACAAUAGAGACUGAGAUAUAAUAUGCAAGUAAACCUAUAACAGUAUAAAAUACCAAUUUAGCAAAUAAUUCAAAAUGUAACACGACCUAGAUGGGUCCUUACAAUAUAAACAUAUAGCCUAAAAUAUGGCUUCUACCAUGAUUUGCAGUUCAAUUUCUAUAACAUAUGGAGAAUAUUCGGAUAACAACAGAUUAUUCAACUAUACAGUUUCAUGGAAUUGACCAAGUCAAAAUUCAUACGGUGCACGCCCAUACGCCUAAUGUCUACCAUGUGUCACACCUCCUUUUCACUACACCCGCAAGGGCGUAAAGGAGUUCUUCCAGUUAAAGGACAGUCGGAAUGGGAUUUGAUUAUUAAUUAUUCAGAGUCGCCACUUGGGAGAUUUAUGGUGUCCCAAGUCACCGAUUUGAAUCCCGAACCGAGUAAGAUUAUGACUCUGUUAACAGUCUGCGAACAAGAGAUCCGGAUAAGGAAUUCUGUUAACCCGGGAGAAGGUGUUAGGCAUUAUCGAGUUCUGUGGUUCUAGCACGGUCGCUUAACAGUUGUAUUUUAUUUUAUAUGAUUUUAAUACAUGCUAGCUUAUCUGCUUUUUAUUUAUAAACCACUUUUACCAUUAUUUAUUUUAAAAGACUUGUGACGUCGUGAAAAUACAUCUCUGACCACGUCGCCAUCAAGGCACCCAUGGUCGUCAACACAUUUCGACUUCGUCGAGAUUUGGAUUUGGGUCGCAUCAAUGCGCACCCGAGUUUAAGAAGGUAAUUUAAUUAAAACGCGUCUAAAGAUUCUAUCACAAUAUUAUUUUGGGGGAGUCCGUGAAAUUCGCUAAACGGCCCUCCCGAAUUCUAAGUAAUUUUAUGUAAUCAUUAUUGAGAGCCCCAUAUUUAUGUUUGUUCGAUAAGGCUCGUCUCAAUUUUUAUUUUUAAAAGGAUAAACCUGAAAAAUAACUAUGUUUUCCAACUUUGUUUUUAUCUUAAAAAAAAACAAAAAGCCAAUGACAAAUUGCUGGCCCAAAACAACGGGCCCGCGACUUGGAGAAUAAGUAUCAACUAUCGAUUCCUACCUAUACCCACACACGAUUUCAAAUGUAAUCACAUUACAGGCGCGCAUACAUCGAACUACAGCAUCAAUCCAGUGUAAAAUAUAACCGGGGUCACACUUGUAUCCUCAAGCGCAGGAACAACCCAGGCCCUAUGUGUAUGGGCUCAAAACUACGACCACGGGGAGACAAUGCAUCCUUAUUCGAAUUUUAAAAAAUACGUUUGAACUCUGUUUAGUCCACAAAUUAGCCUAUCCAAUUGCAUACUGAAUGAGAUUAUUAAAUUAGAUAAAGCUAAGCUACUGUUAUAUGCCCAUAUGCCUAUAAUGAAUGGAUUAUUAUCAAUGCAUCCUACUCAGUUAAUAAUCAACUAAUAACAAAAUGAAACAAUCAGCAACCAAUAUUCUCUAACCAAAUUGAGCACCAUUCACCUUUACGACAUCCUUAUAUUUGAGAUACUAACAACUGAAUUCAAACAGAUAGCUCAAGUUUCAAUCUUAAUUAAGCAGUUCAAGUCUUACAGUCCAUGAUUUAAUACGACUCUAACGGAUUAAAAUCAAUAGAUUAAAACUCCAAGCAGGCAAAUAGAACACAGGUCAGAGGUGGCUUCAUUUCAUUCAAGGUGAGUUCCAACUGUGUUGCCUGGACAGCAAAAUAAGAGGAAGAAAAUGAGAGGCCAACACAGCAGUGCGACAGUGAACAAUCACAAGUAAUCCAGGAAUAGAAAUCCCAAUCCAAGGAAGUUGAAAAUCAACAGCAGUAAUUAAGUCAACGAACUCAAAUUGCACAUAAUCUCACCCCCAGCAGAUGUGAAACUCCUUAAAACCCAACACACUUUUUCAAUAAGCCUAAAACCCCACUAGAACUAUAAAGUAGGUUGAAGGUCUUUAGAUGAAAUCAGAAGGGGUCUGGUGAAUUCUCAAUGAAACAGUAGAAACAUUUUUUAGGAUUUUCGAAAUUUUGUAUUGCCUUUUGAAUUUUGAACCGCAGAGGUACUUCAGAUUUAGGAUUCAGAAUGGAAAUAAUAUUUUCGAGCUGGUUAUUAUUAUAUCUCCAUGAUUUUCCUUUGUUCUUUUGGAUUUUUUUUUUGAAAAUUUCUGAUGUUUUUGGUUUUUUUAUAUGAAGAAAGCUAAAACCUAAGGGAAUUUCAGAUCUGGAAGCUUGAGGGUAUUUUUUGGGCUGUCAAACUUGUGAAUGAAGUAAAUGACAUGCCCUUAUAUAGGGCAGCCCUUAUUUUCUGUUUUCAAACUCAGUCUCUUCCUUAUUUUCAUAUUAAUCCCUUCUUUUCUGACUUGUGCCACAAGUUAGCAUACUUAUUUUGCUGAUAUCUAAACUAAAGCCCCUCCCUAGAAGGCUCUACGUGAUUCUAGUAUUGCCCACAACAUUCUUAUGAUUUUAAAGUACCAAAUUACCCCUACCCCUGAUUUGCAAUAACUGUUUUUGAUAAAUCGACCAUUUCUCAUGCCCAGACUACCCCUGACUCUUCCCCUGAAAUUACUGAUUCUCCCAACCCCCCAUAAACCAGUAUGAAAACAUUAUCAGCUAUAACCAAUAAGCAAACAUACCAAUUACUAAUUAAUCCUAUUAAACUAACUCCUAAUUAAUCAUUUGAACACUAAAACUAAAGUUUAAACCAAAGAUCAGAUUCCAAGCUUAAAAGAACAAUAAUAUGAUUCAAAUCAUCAAACUCAACAAUAAUCUAAACUCGAACUCAAAUUAAAUCAAACAAGCAUAAAAAAACGACGGAUUCAACAAUCAAAGCCUCACUUAUCACAGAAAGGAUAGCAGGAAAAUGAUAAAAAAAAACUGACGGAAAUCAAAGAAGAACCAAAUUAAUUUGAAUAAAAAUGAGCAAUCAAAACCAGGCCUUAUGCAUUUGAACAAACUAAUGACGAACUUAAAGUUUAUACUACCAAUUAAUCAAGGAGCAACAAUACGAACCUAAUUCAGAAACACGAGAGAAUGAGGAAAGAAACAGAGAUUAAGAUUAGACGAAACUCACUGACUUUUGACACCCGAUGGCUUGACUGGCCUCGAACUCGACUUCCAGUUAACGUUGUGUGUUUAUUUCGUCUGAAAUAAACACGUAACAUUAGCUCGAAGUCAAUCGAGCAGUCGAAUCCCCACUCAGACUUGAAUUUCAAAAACCCUAUAUUUACGAUUUGACGACCUCCGGUGAUAUCUGACGGAAACUAAUGAGGGAUUGAUAAUGAGGGAGGUUAGGGGAAAGUAUGGUGAAAACUUGAGCGGAUUUGGACGAAGUCAUGUUCCAUGUCGAAAAUUCGACUCAAUAUUCGACACUUUUGAUGAGGGCUCUGGGGAAACUGAUACUGGGGGUGGAAAAAGGAGGAAGAAAGGAGCCCAGGGUGUAAUUUUGGAGCCCAUCGGAGCAUCGCCGCCGGCAGAGGCGAUUUCUGGUAGGCGGCUCAUGGUGGCGUUACACAGGUACGAGGAAGACGACAUCGGUCGUUAAGGCUUGACCUAUUUUUGGACCAUCUUAUUACAUUAAGG
rnacentral:lncRNA from 1 species